GCGGGGAUAGCUCAGCUGGGAGAGCGUCAGACUGAAGUCCAACUUCAAUCAUAUAAUCUGAAGGCCGUGCGUUCGAUCCGCACUCACCGCA
rnacentral:tRNA from 1 species